rnacentral:rRNA from 1 species
CAGUAGCCGCGGUAAUACGUAGGUGGCAAGCGUCGUCCGGAAUUAUUGGGCGUAAAGGGCUCGCAGACGGUUUCUUAAGUCUGAUGUGAAAGCCCCCGGCUCAACCGAAGAGGGUCAUUGGAAACUGGGAAACUUGAGUGCAGAAGAGGAGAGUGGAAUUCCACGUGUAGCGGUGAAAUGCGUAGAGAUGUGGAGGAACACCAGUGGCGAGGGCGACUCUCUGGUCUGUAACUGACACUGAGAGACGAAAGCUAGGGGAGCAAAUGGGAUUAGAUACCCCAGUAGUCCCUGUCUCUUAUAC